GAUAAUUUGCUGGAAUGUUCGUGGACUUAAUAAGCCUGAAAAAUGUCAGGAGCUCAACAGAAUAAUCAAGUAUGCCGCAUGUGAUAUUGCUAUUCUCGUAGAAACAAAAAUUAAAAAAUCGCUCGUUCUUGCUCAAAAGAAUUUAAUAUGGCCGGACGCAGAACUGUUUACCAAUGACUCUAGUAAAACAUUUGGUAGAAUAUGGGUCUUAUGGCAUCCUAACUCCAUUAAUGCUUGGUUUAUUUCUGCUACCGAUCAAUUCAUUCAUCUUAAGGUGGAG
rnacentral:lncRNA from 1 species